rnacentral:lncRNA from 1 species
GGGUAAAGCGCUAAACCAACAGUAUCUAAUAUUUAUUGAAGUCAUUCUUACUGUGUUCUUGUUUGAAAUGUUUACAUGUAUUAAAUCAUUUGUGAGGUCGGUGCUAUUAGUAUUCUUAUUUGUCUAGUGGGGACUCUGAAAUGCAGAGAGGGUCAGUAACUUGCCCAAAGCCAGGCAGCUCAAAAGUGAGAGAGUGAGGAAGUAAUGAGAGAGGUGCUCACUCCUGACAGGGCAGGUCCUAGAAAAUCCUGUGUGACUCCCUUAGAUACCACUGUGAGGGCACAGAAUGACUGGAUCGAGUCCGGGGAGGCUGCGGAUAGGGUGUCCACACCAGGCAGGGAAGAGCUGAGGGCAGCCUUGUUUGAUUAUUGGCUGCUCUUCUCUCUGAGGUAUUGGAUGUGGCCCAGGAAGGCUAUUUUGCCUCAGGUUUUCUCUCAAGAGGCCUCUAAGCAGUCCUUCAGUGAACUCCACCCCAACGCUGAAACCCAGCUUCUCCCCUCAGGAGCUUAUGGCUCUAGAAACUUGUACUUAACAUGGAUCAGGCUAAGGAUAAAACCAUAAGGACAAAAUCCUUUUCCUAGUAACUCAGGUAAGGGGAAACAAUGCAAGAAAUUGUACAAUUUAUGGAGAAGGAUAUUACUA